rnacentral:rRNA from 1 species
AUGGGAGGAGAGCCCCUCCUCACCUCCCUCUCCAUGGAGAACAGCAAUAGCCAUCCCUGCACCCUCCUCUCCAUGGACCCCGCCGGGUCGCACCCGGCCUCGGCCGAGUCCUCCGGCGGUGGCGGCGCCGUCAACGGGGUUGGCGCCAGUGCUGACAGGGAGCUCUUCAUCAUUCCGCGGCAUGAGUCUGUGCGUCAAGGCCCGCCAGACAUCAACGUCCCGCUGUCAGCAGACCCCUCCCCGCCGCCUGCAUUGUGGAGCCUUGACACGUUCGACAUUUUCGAUGUCGGCCUUGGCACGCACACUCAUGAGUCUGAGGUUGCGCUGACGCUUCCAAAGUCGAGCGGCAACGGCAGUGCCGCAGUCGGCGUCGGUGCGAGGAAGUGCGCUAAGAGGGGGGACAGCAUUUGGGGAGCCUGGUUCUUCUUCAAUCACUACUUCAGGCCUGCACUUGUGGAGAAGGCAAAGGAGAAGGUGACGCGCGACGCAUCUGGGAGCAUCACUGGCUUUGACAAGUCCGAUCUCCGCCUUGAUGUUUUCCUGGUGCAGCAUGACAUGGAGAACUUGUACAUGUGGGUUUUUAAGGAACGGCCUGACAAUGCCCUUGGGAAGAUGCAGCUCCGGAGUUUCAUGAAUGGGCAUUCCAAGCACGGGGAGCCAUCUUUUCCAUUCAGUGCGGACAAGGGCUUUUCGAGGUCGCACCGCAUGCAGCGAAAGCACUACCGUGGUCUGUCCAACCCACAGUGCCUUCAUGGGAUUGAGAUUGUGAACUCACCAAACUUGUCGGCAGUUCCUGAGGCUGAUAUGAAGAGGUGGGCUGAGCUUACAGGAAGGGACCUUAAUUUCUCAAUACCGGCUGAAGCGAGUGACUUUGAGUCAUGGAGAAAUCUUCCAAGCACUGAUUUUGAACUUGAUAGGCCACAGCCAGCAGCGUCAAAGAGCGUCGCACAUACCUCUCAUAAUAAUAACCACAAGAAGACACUGAAUGGUUCAGGUCUGAACCUAUCUACACCGCCGUCAUCAGACGAUGGGAUGGACCUUUCACCAAAGUGCCACAAACGCCGCAAGGACUUCUUUGGUCAUGGCGUAGAAGAGGAUUGUGCGAUGGCCAAUAAUUCAUGUUCCGAGAGAGAGCAAGAGGUAGAAGUCCACACCGGUGAGCCGUCAUGGAUGCACGACUUCACUGGCGUGGCAAAGCACGCAAGUGGGCCUGUUACUGCUGCCAAGACGAUAUACGAGGAUGAUGAAGGCUACCUGAUCAUGGUGAGCAUGCUCUUAUCCGAUCCACACAGCGUGAAGGUCACCUGGAGGAACACGCUGACGCACGGCGUCGUGAAGAUAACAUGUGUGAGCACCGCCCGCAUGCCCUUCAUCAAGAGGCACGACAGGACCUUCAAGCUGACCGACCCUUCCCCUGAGCACUGCCCUCCUGGCGAGUUCGUGAGGGAGAUACCUCUGGCCACAAGGAUCCCAGAGAACGCCAAGAUCGAAGCGUAUUACGACGAGACCGGUACUGGACUGGAGAUCAUGGUACCAAAGCACCGGGUCGGACCGGAGGAGCAUGAAGUCCAGGUGCUACAUCACUACAUUGGUGGUGAUCCCCUUGACUAUUCCUUUCUGUGA